rnacentral:rRNA from 1 species
GAACGAUGAUCCUCAGCUUGCUGGGGGGAUUAGUGGCGAACGGGUGAGUAACACGUGAGUAACCUGCCCUUGACUCUGGGAUAAGCCUGGGAAACUGGGUCUAAUACUGGAUAUGACCUUCCAUCGCAUGGUGGUUGGUGGAAAGCUUUUGUGGUUUUGGAUGGACUCGCGGCCUAUCAGCUUGUUGGUGGGGUAAUGGCCUACCAAGGCGACGACGGGUAGCCGGCCUGAGAGGGUGGACGGCCACACUGGGACUGAGACACGGCCCAGACUCCUACGGGAGGCAGCAGUGGGGAAUAUUGCACAAUGGGCGCAAGCCUGAUGCAGCGACGCCGCGUGAGGGAUGAAGGCCUUCGGGUUGUAAACCUCUUUCAGUAGGGAAGAAGCGUAAGUGACGGUACCUGCAGAAGAAGCGCCGGCUAACUACGUGCCAGCAGCCGCGGUAAUACGUAGGGCGCAAGCGUUAUCCGGAAUUAUUGGGCGUAAAGAGCUCGUAGGCGGUUUGUCGCGUCUGCCGUGAAAGUCCGGGGCUUAACUCCGGAUCUGCGGUGGGUACGGGCAGACUUGAGUGAUGUAGGGGAGACUGGAAUUCCUGGUGUAGCGGUGAAAUGCGCAGAUAUCAGGAGGAACACCGAUGGCGAAGGCAGGUCUCUGGGCAUUAACUGACGCUGAGGAGCGAAAGCAUGGGGAGCGAACAGGAUUAGAUA